rnacentral:rRNA from 1 species
AUUGAACGCUGGCGGCAGGCCUAACACAUGCAAGUCGAACGAGUGGCGGACGGGUGAGUAAUGUCUGGGACACCGCCUGAUGGAGGGGGAUAACCACUGGAAAAGGUAGCUAAUACCGCAUACCAUCAGAUGUGCCAAGAUGGGAUUAGCUUGUUGGUGGGGUAACGGCUCACCAAGGCGACGAUCCCUAGCUGGUCUGAGAGGAUGACCAGCCACACUGGAACUGAGACACGGUCCAGACUCCUACGGGAGGCAGCAGUGGGGAAUGUUGCACAAGGGGCGCGAGCCUAAUGCACCCAUGCCGCGUGUAUGAAGAAGGCCUUCGGGUUGUAAAGUACUUGCAGCGGGGAGGCGUUACCCGCAGAAGAAGCACCGGCUAACUCCGUGCCAGCAGCCGCGGUAAUUC